rnacentral:rRNA from 1 species
UACGGGGGGAGCAAGCGUUGUUCGGAUUUACUGGGCGUAAAGGGCGCGUAGGCGGGAUGGCAAGUCGGUCGUGAAAUCCCUCGGCUCAACUGAGGAUCGUCGAUCGAUACUGCCGUUCUUGAGGAUUGCAGAGGAGACUGGAAUUCCCGGUGUAGCGGUGAAAUGUGUAGAGAUCGGGAGGAACACCGGUGGCGAAGGCGGGUCUCUGGGCAAUUCCUGACGCUGAGACGCGAAAGCGUGGGGAGCAAACAGG